GGGAGAUUAGUUAAAAAAUAUAAUAUUAGCUUGUCAUGCUAAAGUUGCUGUUUUCAGUGUGUCCUU
rnacentral:tRNA from 1 species